rfam:Brachypodium distachyon strain Bd21 chromosome 1, whole genome shotgun sequence.
UUAGUACUCCCUCCGUCCCAUAUUAAGUGACUUUCUAUUACAUGUAUCUAGACGCUUUUUGAAUAUAGAUACAUCCAUUUUUUGGCAAAUUUGAGUCACUUAAUAUGGGACGGAGGGAGUACUAA